GCUUUUCAUGUCAGGCAUCCGAUACUUAGCAUGGCAGGUUACACUGUCACUCAUUCCUGCAGGGUUUGACGCUGUCUCAACAUCUAUUUGUUCUGCAGAAUAUUUUUAGCAGGAGAUUGGGAGAAGGGCUGCUGAGAGAGUCGCUGGGGAAGAAAAAAAGCUGUCCUGAUGGAGGCUGUGUCACAUUCUUGAUGCUGAGGAUGAAGUGGAAACUUCUGGUUUCUUUGGAAAGUCAGUUAUGCUGAAUGAUGUUUUGCUGGGGCACAUGGGUGAAAGGAUGAUUUCCUGAAGGAGUCAUGUGGAAGAAUGUUUUCCUGAAGCAGACAUAGGUUCCUGUGGCUUCUGGCCCCCUCAGCAGCCUCAGGCUGGUUGCAAAACUUGUUGUUUCUUUGGGAUUGAACUGCUGCUGGUGACUUGUGUGUGGUGUCUGCCUGCCGAGAGGACUGGACUUCAGCUGUUGGUUCGUAUUUGGUGUUUGCUAUGGGACUGAACUGCUAAUAUCCUGACAAUGAAGAUUGGACUCACCCCCAAAGAACUAUGUCUAAUCAGGUCUACUUCCCCUGUGUCCUAAUAACUUUUCAUUUCCACUACCUCUUGUGAGGGGUGGGCUAAACAAGAGGUUGAACGUUUAUUAAAAUAGGCUGCAAAAUUUUA